rnacentral:misc_RNA from 1 species
GAGACACACAUCUGUUGAUGGACCGGAGGGCGGGGUUACUAUAAAUAGUGUUUUAUAUGAUUCUGAUCAUUAAUAGUGCUCCUUAUAAUUAUCUGUAAAUGUUGUGACUCUAUGAUGAACUAUAGGAUCGGUGUACAGUGUCACCUCACUUUACCCAGUCCUUCCUAUACCAAGGAUUUCAUUAACUUCAUGAAAUACUCUUAGUAAUUGAACUAAGAAUAAAUCAUUACUCUCAAUU